GACGAACGCUGGCGGCGUGCUUAACACAUGCAAGUCGAACGAUGAACUUGGAGCUUGCUCUGGGGGAUUAGUGGCGAACGGGUGAGUAACACGUGAGUAACCUGCCCUGGACUCUGGGAUAACUUCGAGAAAUCGGAGCUAAUACCGGAUAGGACCUUGCACCGCAUGGUGUGGGGUGGAAAGUUUUUCGGUUUGGGAUGGACUCGCGGCCUAUCAGCUUGUUGGUGAGGUAAUGGCUCACCAAGGCGUCGACGGGUAGCCGGCCUGAGAGGGUGACCGGCCACACUGGGACUGAGACACGGCCCAGACUCCUACGGGAGGCAGCAGUGAGGAAUAUUCCACAAUGGGCGAAAGCCUGAUGGAGCAACGCCGCGUGCAGGAUGAAGGCCUUCGGGUUGUAAACUGCUUUUAUAAGUGAAGAAUAUGACGGUAACUUAUGAAUAAGCACCGGCUAACUACGUGCCAGCAGCCGCGGUAAUAC
rnacentral:rRNA from 1 species